UUGAACGCUGGCGGCAUGCUUUACACAUGCAAGUCGAACGGUAACAGGCCUUCGGGUGCUGACGAGUGGCGAACGGGUGAGUAAUGCAUCGGAACGUGCCCAAUCGUGGGGGAUAACGUAGCGAAAGUUACGCUAAUACCGCAUACGCCCUGAGGGGGAAAGCAGGGGAUCUUCGGACCUUGUGCGAAUGGAGCGGCCGAUGUCAGAUUAGCUAGUUGGUGGGGUAAAGGCCCACCAAGGCGACGAUCUGUAGCGGGUCUGAGAGGAUGAUCAGCCACACUGGGACUGAGACACGGCCCAGACUCCUACGGGAGGCAGCAGUGGGGAAUUUUGGACAAUGGGCGCAAGCCUGAUCCAGCCAUGCCGCGUGCGGGACGAAGGCCUUCGGGUUGUAAAGCUCUUUCAGGAGGGAAGAAACGGUUACGGAUAAUACCUGUGACUAAUGACGGUACCUUCAGAAGAAGCACCGGCUAACUACGU
rnacentral:rRNA from 1 species